ensembl:lncRNA
GCCAGAAGAUGGGGUUCUCAAGUGAGAAAGGAAUGCCCACCCUGGAAGCAGAAUAUAAACAGAAAGAGACAGACAUUUCCUAGCUCCCAAGACUUUGGGGAAUAUGACAACUGGGUUCCUCUAGAGAAAAAAUGAUUGGCAACAAAUCUGGCCAACUAGGGAAUGAAUUGAAACAACCUAGGAAUGGAGCAGCCUUCAUUAAAAGGACUGGUAUCGAGAGGAUCCUUCCACCGGCCAUGUGACUGAACAGCCGUCCUCAUUCCGUCCGUGUGCACAUGCACAGAGAGGGGACUGGGGCGGCAUGCAACAAACAUCCACCAGGGGCCCUCCAGGGAAUGGGCAACUGAUUGAUGUCAGAAUCUCCUAUAAGUCACCAAGAAGAGAAUAAGGAUUUUAAGACUACUGAUGGACAGCAGCUUAAAUAAUGACAAGAUGCUACUCAAUCAGCUGAAAGUGCCUUCCUGAAGCUGUGAUACAAACCUGAAUUCCACGCAUCCAGCCCCCCUUCCGGCCCUCCUUCACAUGCUUCCCAGUCCAGAGAAGACUCCUUUCUAAUCGUCUUCCGCCGAGAUGCCCACUGACUCUCUGUGGUGCUUCCACAACUCCCAUGAAGAUGCAGCACAUGGGGUCCCCUCCCUAACAAGUGGAUGUGCCAGUAGAGGAGUAUGCCAAGCCACUCUCCUGUUUAAAAAAAUCCAUCACCCUCUGAUGUUAAACAGAGAUGGCGUUCCAGGGGAAAACCAGAUUCCCAGCAUGGACAUUCCUCUGAAACUGGUGGGGGUGCAGCUGGGCGAAGGACACUAAGAACGCCUGCCUCCCGGUGUGUGGAGAAGGCCCACGGAGAAUCAGGCGUUUUCCCUUCUGUGGCCGUCUCCUACCACACCAGCUCAUUCUUCGCACGAGCCCCUUUGGUUCCUGACUACACUGUCUCCCAAGGUCUGGUACCAUUAGGUGUAGCAGCAGGUGAGUCUUAGAAGAUGUUUCCAAAACGAAGCUCAAGUUCAAUGCCACCAGCUGCCAAAAACUACCAGCUGGCUCUCCCGGAGAGGGUGGCACACUUCGGGACACGUACUGUCCUGGAAGGCCCUCCCUGGAAGCUGAGACGUGAGACUGCGUGUGGUAGCAACAUAAUCAACACAGCUGUCUUUGAGACUUAUUCUCUCCGAGUUUUGCUUCAGGAACAAGAAAUCAUUGCAACAGGGUCUGUAAUGAGGAAAACAAAUACAUAUUUUAAAUUUGGAUUUUCCUUAAAACAUUCAACAAGCCACUAACUUCAAACAUUGUAACAACCUUAACUCCUCGCCAAAUCAAUUGCAUUAUUCAGUUUUAUUGUUUUUUUUCCUCAAUUAAACAUUGGCAACUGGAACCUGUUUCACCGAAGAGGGAAGGCGGGUUUAAUGCCAUCCCGGCCCUGGGUUAUGGAGCUGCGGAAGGCUUGUCUGUGCAGUUAUCCAGCAGCUGGAUAUUUUCAAGUCUGAAAACUCACAGUCACUCAAAGGGAUAACCUAUAUCCAUCAUCUCACAAUAAUUGUAUUGAUUCUAAGGGUAAGGGAUUAAAUCUGACUUUUAAUGCUCUACCAUUUUAUCAGUGCAUUUGAAUAAAGUUUCAGGAUCUGCACAGGCCUUUCCCAUCGGAAUUUCAUGCAUAUCCCACUCAGAUAUCCUGUGGUUCUGGCUUGUCACAGAGCCAGGCACGUGCUUAUUGGAUUAGAAAUCUAGAUAGACGUUGGGGGCAGUUGAGAGCC